ensembl:lncRNA
UUUACCCACUACUGAUCCUGGGCCAAGCCAAGAGUACUUUUGCAUGUUAGUUCAUAUUUCAGAAUCCUCAUACUGCUCUUUUUCAGAAAAGCCUUAUUUCCGCAUUUUCACAAAAGUGGAGCCCGUGGUUCAGGGAGAUGCAGCAGCUGACUCAAGACUGCGGAGACAGUAGGUCAGAGAUGGACCAGGAUGUGGUCUUCCAGCACUGAUACCAGCCCUGUCUGUCCCAGCCUGAGAGGCGGCCUUCUGCAAUGCUCUCCGUGGAAGCUUCAUCCAGGCUUGGUCUGAGCUCCUCUGGUAUUCCCUGAGAAAGCCUAAUUUCAAAGGUUGUCCAGGUGAGCUAAAAUCUGCCUCCCUGUCACUUUCUCUCUCAGGCCCUCGAAGUCCUAAAUCUAACAUCAAGCAAAAAGGGAAAUUCAGGAAUCUGCCCUUGGCCAUAUCUGUUCUUCAGAGAUGGGGAAAUGGCCCCAGAUGGUCCCUGAUUCUGUCCCAGGACUGGCUGGUGGUGGGGUGUAGUGUCUGCACCCUCCCAAGGAGACUGACCGUCAGAACCCUGUCUCUGUGGGCCUUCUCAGGCUCUCUGACUGCUCCGCGUGGCUCCGGGUGGGAGUUAGGGAAAUCUGGAGGUUAAAGGUGCAACCAAGUGAGCCUGCCAGGCAGGCCCCAGGUAAAAGGGAUGGAUGGGGACUCCAGCCCAGGCCCAGAGAACACCGAGGACGCACCACUGAGUGGGCUGUGACCUGUGGCUGGGGGAGAGCCCUUGGGCCCUAGAGGGCACAUGCUCCCCACACAUCCCAGCUUAGCCCAGGGCCAGGUAGGGGAGGUGCUGAUGCACAAGCAAUAAUGGGCCAGAUGAUAGCUUUCAGAGCUCGUUGAAGGAGGCAGGCAGGGCAAGCUUCAUUUUGGUUUACAGAUAUGGCAAUGGAGGCCCAGAGAACUCAGAUGGCUUUCCAAGGCCACACAGCCCCGAAGGCAGGACCCUGGGCUCCUUUUCAUCUGUCAACUCUAGGAGGAUGGGUCUGGGCACAGCCACGAAGGAGCAGAUGUGAGGAAGUGCCCACGGGUGAUGGAGGAACAAUGAGUCCACAUCCCUUUUCCUAUGGUUGACCUAACUAUCUGCGAAGAGAAAUUUGGACAUCUUUCUGAGGACCCCAGUUGGUUCACGGAAGAAUUCACCAAGCUGACAAUGUUUUGAGAACUUACCUGGGGGACUGACAGAUCCUCCUUUCUACUUGCUUCACCUUUGAAGAGAAAAGCUGGAUCCUUGCUUCAGCCUGGGCACAUGCCGGUAAACUGGCAGCCCCACAUCAAGGACAUACAAUCUACCUUGCAAGAGAGAGCGCAGCCCUUGACCAAGACCUCCACUGGGCUACCAGCAAAGAGGUAGAGGGCUUACACCAA